UGGGGAAUUUUGGACAAUGGGCGAAAGCCUGAUCCAGCAAUGCCGCGUGUGUGAAGAAGGCCUUCGGGUUGUAAAGCACUUUUGUCCGGAAAGAAAUCCUUGGCUCUAAUACAGUCGGGGGAUGACGGUACCGGAAGAAUAAGCACCGGCUAACUACGUGCCAGCAGCCGCGGUAAUACGUAGGGUGCAAGCGUUAAUCGGAAUUACUGGGCGUAAAGCGUGCGCAGGCGGUUUGCUAAGACCGAUGUGAAAUCCCCGGGCUCAACCUGGGAACUGCAUUGGUGACUGGCAGGCUAGAGUAUGGCAGAGGGGGGUAGAAUUCCACGUGUAGCAGUGAAAUGCGUAGAGAUGUGGAGGAAUACCGAUGGCGAAGGCAGCCCCUGGGCCAAUACUGACGCUCAUGCACGAAAGCGUGGGGAGCAAACAGGAUUAGAUACCCUGGUAGUCCACGCCCUAAACGAUGUCAACUAGUUGUUGGGGAUUCAUUUCCUUAGUAACGUAGCUAACGCGUGAAGUUGACCGCCUGGGGAGUACGGUCGCAAGAUUAAAACUC
rnacentral:rRNA from 1 species